GACGAACGCUGGCGGCGUGCCUAACACAUGCAAGUCGAGCGGAGAUACAAAGUAAUUUAUUAUGAUGUAUCUUAGCGGCGGACGGGUGAGUAACGCGUGGGCAACCUGCCUUACAGAGGGGGAUAACAGUGCGAAAGCACUGCUAAUACCGCAUGAAAUUGAGAUAUCGCAUGGUAUCACAAUCAAAGGAGAAAUCCGCUGUAAGAUGGGCCCGCGUCUGAUUAGCUAGUUGGUGAGGUAAAGCUCACCAAGGCGACGAUCAGUAGCCGAUCUGAGAGGAUGAACGGCCACACUGGAACUGAGACACGGUCCAGACUCCUACGGGAGGCUG
rnacentral:rRNA from 1 species